rnacentral:lncRNA from 1 species
AGUCUAUGUACACACAGAAAAGUGUGAAGUUUUAGUCCCUCCUUGUCUCACAAUGAUAAAUACGUGAUGUUUUACAAAAGAUGAAUAAUAAAAAGAAGAAAUUCGCCAGCAAAACUGAAAGCGCAACAAAGAAAGUGAUAAACUAGAAGUAGAGGUAGAAUUGAACAUAAAUGGAGUUAUAAAAGAAAUAAAUGACCAUAAAAAUGUUGACACUGCUGUCAUUGGAGAAAUUCUAGAUAAGUAGCCAGAAGGAACUUAGUAAAAGUCUACUUAAUGGUGUAAAUAAGGAAAGUGGUUCUGACGAAAAGAAUGAAGAUGUCCUUGAGGAAGCGCUGCCAGGAAUAAACUCAGCAUUAAAAGAAUUCUCAGAGACAUUUUACAGCAUUGAAAGUGCAAAGGGUAAAAUAAUGUAAACGGAUCCAAACUUAAGAAGGAAUAUGACAAGUUGCCAAGAUAUAGAAGUGAAGCUUGCUUCCUAUCAUAAGAUAUACCAUGAGAAGAAGAGCCAGACCUUG